rnacentral:lncRNA from 1 species
ACUUUACUCUCACUGUCCAUUGGCAUGGCCUGGGAAGCUAGCAUAAAAAACACAGCCGUGCUUGGGCCCCAAUCCCGCAAUGCAGGUUUACCCGGGUUUUGUCAGUUCUCCUGGCAGAAGUGCAUACUACGAGUUCCCAGGUGAUACUCCUGUACUUUAUGCUGGGAUAACGUAAAGCCUAACAGUGACAUCGUACUCCCUUGUCACCAAAACUCACAUGUGGGGAAGAAUUUCUGAAACAAAAUUCCCUAGUACAUGUGACAUGACUAUGCUGUUUUGGGGACCAUUCUUGUCUUAGGACAAUUUCUGUCAAUGUUUAAAUGAAUGAUUUGAUUAUUUGUUUGAAUGCAGGAGAAGAUAACAGGCCUGCUUAGGGUAGGAAUUGCAUCAACGAAAAUACUGUGGAAUGACCUAAAUGUACAAUCAACAAAGCUUUAGGGUAACCCACCUAUUUUUGUGAUGCUUCUAUAUGAGCCCUUAGGAGUGUGUCAAAGUGGACAGACACUCUGGCUGCAGGAGCCCCUACCACAGAGACCCCGCCUCAGAAGAUGCAUUCAUGUGUGCCUUGCUUUAAACCAUCUCCAGUGAUUAAAACAGAAGUUGGAAAACAGACUACUGGGGACUUACUUUCCAACAUAUUUUUUAAACUUUAAAUUUUACUUGCUCUGGAAUAAUUUUAAAUAUUGGAUUGCUCCGUUAUUUGAAGUUGGAAGUUAUUUUCUAAAAUGUGAUUUACAGACAUUUCUACAGACAUUUCAGGAACAUCUCUUUGCCAGCAAAAUUUCACAACAAUCUUCCAAAAAUUUAAUUGCUUCUUUAUCAUACAACUGGAGAAGUGGUUUACCUGACUUGUUUGGCUCUGUCAAGCUCUGGAGGAAGAGACAGUUGGUCACCACCCGCUGUGACUCGUGGCUAAGUGGAGUGUUAUGACAAUAAGCACAACAGAUUCCAUAAGCACUACUCACUUGGCUCGCCUUAUUUAUAUUGGCAGAAGACAUUUUCAGCUCGCCCCUGCACCAAUGCAUACUAUUAGAGCUGGUUCCUAUUAAAUGUAAUAAUUUGGUUUUCCUCUUUGGGAUAUUACUUCUUGAGGCCAAAAUCUUUGGUAAUGAGAUUGGAUUGUGACAAAGGGACAAAUAUAGAUUGUUUUCUUUGAGUAUCUUAUUUCUAAUUCAAGCACAUGU